rnacentral:sRNA from 1 species
UAAGCAACUCGUCCACGAUGAAGGCUC